GGCAAAUCCGGAAAAUCAAGGCUGAGGCGUGACGACGAGGCACUACGGUGCUGAAGCAACAAAUGCCCUGCUUCCAGGAAAAGCCUCUAAGCAUCAGGUAACAUCAAAUCGUACCCCAAACCGACACAGGUGGUCAGGUAGAGAAUACCAAGGCGCUUGAGAGAACUCGGGUGAAGGAACUAGGCAAAAUGGUGCCGUAACUUCGGGAGAAGGCACGCUGACACGUAGGUGAAGUGAUUUACUCAUGGAGCUGAAGUCAGUCGAAGAUACCAGCUGGCUGCAACUGUUUAUUAAAAACACAGCACUGUGCAAACACGAAAGUGGACGUAUACGGUGUGACGCCUGCCCGGUGCCGGAAGGUUAAUUGAUGGGGUCAGCGCAAGCGAAGCUCCUGAUCGAAGCCCCGGUAAACGGCGGCCGUAACUAUAACGGUCCUAAGGUAGCGAAAUUCCUUGUCGGGUAAGUUCCGACCUGCACGAAUGGCGUAAUGAUGGCCAGGCUGUCUCCACCCGAGACUCAGUGAAAUUGAACUCGCUGUGAAGAUGCAGUGUACCCGCGGCAAGACGGAAAGACCCCGUGAACCUUUACUAUAGCUUGACACUGAACAUUGAGCCUUGAUGUGUAGGAUAGGUGGGAGGCUUUGAAGUGUGGACGCCAGUCUGCAUGGAGCCGGCCUUGAAAUACCACCCUUUAAUGUUUGAUGUUCUAACGUGGACCCGUGAUCCGGGUUGCGGACAGUGUCUGGUGGGUAGUUUGACUGGGGCGGUCUCCUCCUAAAGAGUAACGGAGGAGCACGAAGGUUGGCUAAUCCUGGUCGGACAUCAGGAGGUUAGUGCAAUGGCAUAAGCCAGCUUGACUGCGAGCGUGACGGCGCGAGCAGGUGCGAAAGCAGGUCAUAGUGAUCCGGUGGUUCUGAAUGGAAGGGCCAUCGCUCAACGGAUAAAAGGUACUCCGGGGAUAACAGGCUGAUACCGCCCAAGAGUUCAUAUCGACGGCGGUGUUUGGCACCUCGAUGUCGGCUCAUCACAUCCUGGGGCUGAAGUAGGUCCCAAGGGUAUGGCUGUUCGCCAUUUAAAGUGGUACGCGAGCUGGGUUUAGAACGUCGUGAGACAGUUCGGUCCCUAUCUGCCGUGGGCGCUGGAGAACUGAGGGGGGCUGCUCCUAGUACGAGAGGACCGGAGUGGACGCAUCACUGGUGUUCGGGUUGUCAUGCCAAUGGCACUGCCCGGUAGCUAAAUGCGGAAGAGAUAAGUGCUGAAAGCAUCUAAGCACGAAACUUGCCCCGAGAUGAGUUCUCCCUGAGACUUUAGGUCUCCUGAAGGAACGUUGAAGACGACGACGUUGAUAGGCCGGGUGUGUAAGCGCAGCGAUGCGUUGAGCUAACCGGUACUAAUGAACCGUGAGGCUUAACCUUACA
rnacentral:rRNA from 2 species